GUUCCUACGGGGGGCAGCAGUGGGGGAUAUUGGACAAUGGGGGGAACCCUGAUCCAGCGACGCCGCGUGAGUGAAGAAGUAUUUCGGUAUGUAAAGCUCUGUCAGCAGGGAAGAAAGCAAUGACGGUACCUGACCAAGAAGCCCCGGCUAAAUACGUGCCAGCAGCCGCGGUAAUACGUAUGGAGCAAGCGUUAUCCGGAUUUACUGGGUGUAAAGGGAGAGUAGGUGGCAGAGCAAGUCCGAAGUGAAAACCCAAAGCUCAACUAUGGGAAUGCUUUAGAAACUGCUCAGCU
rnacentral:rRNA from 1 species